GACGAACGCUGGCGGCGUGCUUAACACAUGCAAGUCGAACGGUGAAAGGGAGCUUGCUCCCUGGAUCAGUGGCGAACGGGUGAGUAACACGUGGGCAACCUGCCCCUGACUCUGGGAUAACGCUUCGAAAGAGGUGCUAAUACCGGAUACGAACUCCCUUGGCAUCUUGGGAGUUGGAAAGUUUUUCGGUCAGGGAUGGGCCCGCGGCCUAUCCGCUUGUUGGUGAGGUCACGGCUCACCAAGGCGACGAAGGGUAGCCGGCCUGAGAGGGCGACCAGCCACACUGUGACUGAGACACGGCCCAGACUCCGACGGGAGGCAGCAGUGGGGAAGAUUGCGCAAUGGGCGAAAGCCUGACGCAGCAACGCCGCGUGAGGGAUGACGGCCUUCGGGUUGGAAUCCUCUUUCAGCAGGGAAGAAGCGAAAGUGACGGUACCUGCAGAAGAAGCACCGGCUAACUACGUGCCAGCCGCCGCAGUAACAC
rnacentral:rRNA from 1 species